rnacentral:piRNA from 1 species
UGCAAGCCACGUACGUUCCCAU